CUCUCUCUCUCUCUCUCUCUCUCUCUCUCUCUCUCUGCAGGGCAUCAGAGUUACAGAAUAAAGUGGCCACUCAGUGUCUGCAGCUGCAUGGUGGGUGGGGCUACAUGUGGGAAUAUCAAAUCGCCAAAGCCUUCGUGGACGCUCGUGUGCAGCCCAUCUACGGCGGAACCAACGAGAUCAUGAAGGAGCUGAUCGCUCGCAGCAUCGUCGGACACAGAUAGACGAGUGCUGAGCUGAGGGAUCGGACGGAUCACGGAGACACGGAGAGAAGAUAAUACACUCUCUUGGAGAUCAUGUGACACAAUUUUGAUCAUUUUAUUUCUUAUUUUUAUAGAAUAAAGUUUAUAGUGCAUGAUUUAAUAAGUAAAUAAUUACGAUAAAACUCAUUUGAAGGGUUAAAGUUGUUCACGUGGGUAGACAGAUUUUAAAAUUUUAAAUAGCAACAUUUUCGAUGUUCGAAUACUGAUGUGUGUAAUUUCUUUAUUAAAUCAUGACUGCACGCUUAAUUAACCCGGCUCUGAACACGCCUCUGAAGAGUGUGAAGUUGUGUGCGGUUUUAAUAACUGUUUCAGAGGAAAAUGUUUUUUCUCUUUUCUGUAGAAUAAAUCAAGUGCCUCUGCUGUA